rnacentral:rRNA from 1 species
GAUUAACGCUGGCGGCGUGCAUAACACAUGCAAGUCGGACGAUGAAACUUUAAUGAACCCUUCGGGGAGAAUUAAAGCGGAUUAGUGGCGAACGGGUGAGUAACGCGUGAGUAACCUGCCUUACACAAGGGGAUAGCCUUUGGAAACGAAGAAUAAUACCCUAUAAAACCAUAAAAGCACAUGCAAUUAUGGUCAAAGUGAUAGCGGUGUAAGAUGGACUUGCGUCUGAUUAGCUAGUUGGUGAGAUAAAAGCCCACCAAGGCAACGAUCAGUAGCCGGCUUGAGAGAGUGUACGGCCACAUUGGGACUGAGACACGGCCCAGACUCCUACGGGAGGCAGCAGUGGGGAAUUUUGCACAAUGGGGGAAACCCUGAUGCAGCGACGCCGCGUGAUUUAGAAGGCCUUCGGGUUGUAAAAAUCUUUUGUAUAGGAAGAAAAUGACAGUACUAUACGAAUAAGGUCCGGCUAAUUACGUG